rnacentral:lncRNA from 1 species
CUUGGCCCGUUGAUUUGCUAGGAGAAGCUUGCUGCAGAUGGUUUUCCUGAUGCUGUUGCGGUCGGAGGAGGAGCUCGGGGCCUCACUAUCUCUGGGAAUGGCUGCUGUUUCAUCAGGGGAGCUCCAACCUUUACCAUGAGCAUCACUUCCUGCCUCCAAUGUGGAUCCCUCACGUUGAUGGCGCAAAUUCUUCAUCUGACUGGAGUAGGUUUUCUGGCUUCCACAACUGGCCUUUGGGCUUCCAGGUGCAGAACUUCAAUAUGAACAAGAAUGAGACAUUGCCGUGGGCUCUAGACCACUGGCUGGACUUGAGCAGGAGAUUGCCUUGGACUCUAAGUCUUUAGCUGGAUUUGUGUGGGAAAUUGCUGGGAUCCAGGCCCUCAGCUGAAUCCUCUGGGCUUCUAGUGUGCAGUUACUCACUUUGCACUCCUUUGCAUUUGACUCUUUGGGCACAAUAAGAUGUUCGAAGUUCAUAUUAACACCUCCUCCAUGCCAGCCAUAGAACCGGCCAUUUUUCUAUGGAGCCCUAUCUUCUUUGGAAGAUUCCAUGCUAUAAGCCUACCCAAAAUGACAACGCCUGGCACCUAUGGAGGGCCUUUAGAUAGACCCUCUGUAGAGUAACUGACUGCUGAUCACAACUACAACUGAUCACAACUUCAGCCAGAAGUAGCCAGAAUGGUCUUUGCUCUUUGCCCCCUCACACCAGUUAGAGGUUCUUCAGAGGGGGGAAUAUUGCAGAUAGGUAAGUUUAUUAGAUAUCUUGUAGGCAGAUAGACAGAGCCAGCCCAGGAGGAGCCAACAUGGCAGACAAUCAAGACACAUUCACUGAAGGCCAGCAUUGUAAGAGAAGAGAAACUACUACACCCAGGUGCUUCCCCUAAGGAUAAAUAGGUAUCAGCCACAUGGGUGGGAGACAAAGAUCUUCCAGGAAAGAUCCUUGACCCACCCUUUUCCACUAAAAAUCCUUGCUCAUUCUUUGUAUGCUUGCUAUGUGACUUGUUUCCCCAUUGGAUCCCUAUUUAAUCAGUAUUACCUAAGCAACUAUACUUGUCAUAAUCUUAUUGGUUUUCAUAGUUUUGUCCACCUUGUGAUUUCUCUCAUUGGAUCAAUAUUACCUGGGUGACUGUACUUAUAAUCUUAUUGGUUGGCCAUGGUUUUGUCCCACCUCAUGCCUGCCUUGUAAAUUUCCAUUGGGCCUUAUAGUUUUGUCCCACUUUAUACCCACCUCACCACAUGACAUGGCUGUAUAAAACAUCUUUGAAAAGUGGGGUGGGCAGGCAAUCCACUUUCCAGUCCCCCUUCUGACUCUCUUAGAAGC